rnacentral:lncRNA from 1 species
UGGAGAGUGAUUCUUCUGCCGAAACAACGAAGGAGUCGGAGGAGAAGAAACAAAGAACCAAAGGAAAAUCAGCCGAAGAAUCACCGGCUGAAGUGAACAUGGUAUAUGCUCUGCCUCAAUCCUUUAAGGCAGAGUUUAUUGAGUAUGAAGAGUUUAGAGAGGAGAAACAGAUUAGAAAACAUUACAGAGGAAGGAGGUGGAGUUUCGGCAGCUUCUUCCGAUUUUUUGUCUGAUAUGGAUGGCUCGGCAGGGUU